rnacentral:lncRNA from 1 species
CGGUUUAACUGCGGUGCAGUUUUAACAGUUAUAAAAACGUAUAGAUAUAUGGUAUAUGUAGAGAUUUUUGUUACUGUUAACUGCGGUGCGGGACAGUUCGUAACAUUCGAAGCCGUUGAGUUUAUUGUUAAGGUACGUGUGGAAUGUGUAUGUGUGCAAGAUAUUUGAUUUAUUAAAUAUUGUGAUGAGAAAUGUUUUACAAUUUUGUUAUCAUAUGGCUUAAAAAGCAAGCCAAACCACAAUUUACUUGUCUGAAACGAAUAAUACAUAUAAGUUUGUAACAUGUCUAUUACAUACAGAUCAAAAGACAAACCGGUCUUGUACAGGUGCUACAUUUUUUUACAGAAAACCGAAAAAAAUUAACUAACCAAAAGUUAAAAGUAUAUACUAAUGACCGAUCUUGUCUUUUAUUAGACGUUUCUAUACAAAACUUAAAAGUAUAAGGGAUAUAUA